UACCGGGAAAGGGAAUAACACUCGAAAUGUAUAUAAGAAAUACUCAAGUUAAUAAAAAAGAAGAAGAAGAAAAAAAAGUAUCAGUGCUCUCUUCAUUAUCUAUCAUACCCAUAUUUAAAGUCCAUUAGGUUGUCACUGUGAUUUGCACUGCACUCCAGCUAUGCUAUGCUAGUCAGAAGAGUUGUGAGUUAAGAACCCUCGUAUUCCUCUUCUCUGUAUUCAUUUUUCUUAUGGGUUCUGAAAAACCUCCUUCUUAGGCUUCUUUAUAAAGCAUAUAUUCAAUUUAAUUUCAACAAUAUUUUGCUUCAUUGGUUAGCACAUUCUUUACCAUAGUAUAGUGUUUCUUCUUAAUUUAAUUAUGUGCUGAAUUUCAAUGUUUUUCUUUUGUACAUUAAGAGCAGGGCGACUGUAAAUUCACCUUCACAUAUUGAAUUCUGGCCUUGCUGUACAAAAAUCAAAGUAUCUUACAGUGGUAUUUCCUACCUCCCAGUAGUUCUAUGCUGGGGUAUUCACAAGAAUAUGUUUAAUUAUAAAAAUGUAAUGCUAGUUUUUAUUUAUAUUUUACUACUAUUUUAAAAGAUACCGAAGACAAUAGCAUUCUUGUGCUAAUAUUAAACAGUUGUAAAUUUUGUAGAAAGUCAUAUCUCUUAUUGGUUUGGAUUGGCUUGUUCCUGGGAAAAAUUCUAAGAUUAAGGUAAACAAAGAGAACAUCUUUAUGAGGUGAUAAAAUUAAGUUUUUUGAAGACAUUUAAUAAAGAAUCCACUUUUUCAUUUGUUACUCACAGCAUGCAGUCUGUUGCUCAACCUUGAAUAGAUUUGCUUUUGAUAGAUAUGUAGAGAUAGUAAGGCAGGGCUGUGUUUCCUGUGCCCUCCCAGGCUUUUGUCUUUCUGCAUCAUGACUCUGUUUGCUGAGGGAGUUUUAAGCUCUGUAAUUCUGACUAAACUGUUUAUUAUGUACUGAAUUCUUCACUCAUGGGACAGUAAGAUUCUCCAGACUAAUGUUCCCAGUGUGCUUUUCAAAACCAUUGUUAGACUUAACGUUUAUAGGAUUGGGGCAAGAUUUCCUUGGCUCUUCCUUGGCCAUUAUCUAAACCAGCUAAGCCACAACUUGAGCUCUGUCACAGCCUCUCAUAUACCAUAUUUUAGUGCAUUGACUGGAUGAUAACCUUUUCAACAAGACAUUUAGUGGGAUGCUCUUUGACAUCUAAAACUGCCUUAAAACCUUGAUGCUUUCAAACCCAUGCAUUCUCUUUAUAUAAAAUAUAAAUUUUAUUAUAUCUUAGAAAAAUUUGACAUUCAAGUAAAAGGAUUCUAGAAUAAAAUCAAUAGGCAGUGACUUUUCUUCAACACACUGCAUUAAAUUAAAUGCCAACUGGUAAUUUAGUCUCAGGGCUGCUCAUAACUUUACCAUUACUACAAGUAGUUUUGAAUAAUGUUCUGUUCCCCCCCCCACGCCCCAAUUAGAAUUUGAUCUAAUGGACUGUUGAAAUAGUUUAAAUCUGUCUAGUAUUAGUAGACUGGUUAAGGAAGUCCCCACUCCAUGUAAUAUUAAUUCGGAUAAGCUUGAGGUUUGUUAGCAUAAUAAUAAGGUAAUAGUUUGUCUAAUUUAAUUUUGACACUGUGAUAUGUGACACUUCAAUAAUAGCUGAUGUGACCUUUAAGGUUAAUAAUGACAUCACUCAUCUGAAGUGACAGGCUACUUCAAGUUCCACAGUUGAUCUUACUUCUUCCUUUUUAAUUUUUUUUUAAAAUUAGGUUACUGUUGCACUAAUGAAGCUUCAGUGAACUGUUAUCUAGAAUUGCAAACUUAAAUAAAUUGGUUCCAGAGUUUCCUCAAUGACUCUCUCCAGUGCAGUUGUGAUGAUGGAUGUGAAGAGGUAGACAUUUUUUCCUACACAAAUAUUAAUAGGCAGAAAUUCUUUUUGAGGCAUUCUCACAUGGAAAGUUUCCGCUAUCAAGAUAAAGUUCUCUGGAUAUUUCACUAUCUCGUGCCGUCUUGCAUUUUAUUAUAGCUGUCUAUGGGACUGUGGCCUUGUUAAAAGCAUGAUGUUCAACUCUGUGAAGAUCAGAGAAAUACACUAGAAUAUUAUCCAAGAUGUCAACUAAGAGAACAAUAUCGGCUAAGAGAAAAGCAUUAGGUAGACAAAUCAAAUAAUUGAAUAUGAUAAGCACAGUUUUCUUAGGGGGACCAAAGGAUGGUGUUGGAGUUAUGGAAGACUGAGAAUGAGUUCUCAACCUAAGAAAACAAGAUCAUUUCCUGUCUCAACUGCUGAAGCAGAAGAAUUCAGAAUUAUUUUAAUUAAAAUACUCCUCCUCCUGCCUUUCCCACUUUCUGUACUGCUUACAGAAGAGAGAAACAACUAUGCCUAUGGAUAUGUUAUGAGUAGUGGUAUAGAGUAAGGAAAGGUAGCUUUUGACUAUAUAGUUACAAAAAUAUAUAUAGAAUGUGGCCAAUGGGUUGGGGAUUUAGCUCAGUGGUAGAGCGCUUGCCUAGGAAGCGCAAGGCCCUGGGUUCGGUCCCCAGCUCCGGAAAAAAGAAUGUGGCCAAUGGGAAGAUGUUGCUGAGGCAGCUUGGCAAAGAAACCCUAGGGGAAUUACAUGGAAAGGAUAGGCUUGCUUGAAGAUCUAUCUGAUAAUCUACAUACAGAAGCUGUAGGAGGAGAAGAGAAUGUCAAAUGUUUUCAGUUUUACAGACUUAAAAUUUCUGGGAGUGUCACAUUCAUCAUGUUUCAGAUCAUUGCUGGGAUCAUCUUAAACCCCUCCCCAUUUUCUUCUCUUUUUUUGUUUUUUAACCUACUGUUGCUAUUUGAGAAUUUCAGCUGUCUCCAAUGUUAAGCUCAUUAAGGAAGGGUUAAUUAUCCAAAAGUCAAUUAAGCAAGCUGUAUAUAAGGACCCCUUUUCUUUACCUCCUUGUGAUGCUUUAAUAAAGUCUAUAGGAGAAAAUCAUUGCCAUGGACAACUAUACUCUUCUGAGAAGAAAAACCGUGGUUAUUGGAGUAAGAUCUGUGCUCUUUAUGCUCUGACUUCAAUGGCAUUAUCUCACCUAUAUGGUUCAUUUUAUGAGGAUUUUGUAUAACUUUCAGUAGACUAAAUAUCCCAUUGACUUGCAGACAGAAGAGUAUAAUUCACUUGAGUUUGUGGCAUGUAGAUUCAAUGGAGGAUUAACUAAGAACGGCAUGACAUGCAAGUUGUUUUAUGAUGGCAUUACCUCCAUAAGCUAGUAAGACCAUAUAAACGUACUUACUCUACACACUUAACAUAAGGGGAAUGACAGGGUGAGGAUCAGGUGUGGGAAAUGACAGGAGGGGUGGCCAGAUGGCCAUGAGAAUGAAUGGAAAUCUACAACUGACUGGGAUGGGGAUGUAGGGGCCAUCUCCUUGAAGAGACAGAAACUUGGGAUAAGGGAGGUUCCCAAGAAUCAAUGGGGAGGUGUGUCCUUAGCUGUGACUCACAGCAUUGGGAAUAUGAAACUUGAAUAGGCCACUUCGAUAGCCAGGCAGGAAUCCCAGUGGAGCAAUAGGGACACUAACCCACCCACAAAACUUUUGACUCAAAACUUAUCCUGUCUACAGGAAGUAGAGGGAUUAGGGAUGGAGCAGAGACUCAGGGAAAAGCCAACUAAUAACUGGCCCAACUUGGGACCUAUCCCAUGGACAAGCACCAGUCCCUGACACAAUUAAUGAUACUCUGUUAUGCUUUGCAGACAGAAGUCUAGCAUGAUUGUCCUCUGAGAGACUCCACCUAGCAGCUGGCUCAGACAGAUGCAGACACCCACAGCCAAACAGUAGAUGGAGCUUGGAGAUUCUUAUGGAAGAGUAGGGGGAAGUAUUGAGGGCCCCAAAGGGGAUAGGAACUCUACAGGAAGAGUCAACUAUCCCUAGAACCUUGGUGCUUUCAGAGACUGAACUAUUAACCAAAAAGAAUACACAGGAUGGAUGUAGCCUCUGUCCCCCCUCACACAUAUGCAGAAGAUGUGCAGCUUGGUUUUCAUGUGGGUCCCAAAGAACUGGAAUGGGGGCUAUCCCAAAAGCUGUUGCAUAUGUGUGGGAUAUAUUCUUUUAGCUGGAUUGGCUUGCCUGGCCUCAGUGGGAGUGGAGACUUGAUGUGCCAGGGCAGGGGCCCACCUGCUCAGAGAGUAAGUGGAGAGGGUAUGGGGCUAAGGAUUGUGGGAAGGGCUGACCAGGAUGGGGGAGUGAGCAGUAUGUAAAGUGAAUAUGUAAAAUGUUGUUGUUGUUGAUGAUGAUGAUGAUGAUGAUGAUGAUAGUGAACCAGUUCCGGUUUACCAUCAUAUUCUGUUUGCUUAUUGUGCUGAUUAUUCUUAUUUGUCAACUUGACACAAGGUAGAAUCACCUGGAAAGAAGGUCAUCAUGAGAAAUUAUUGAGGUCAAGUUGGUCCGAAGGCAUGUCUAUUGGGGAAUGUCUUGAUUGUUUAACUGACAUAGAGGACCCAGUCCACUUCAGGCAGUACCAUUUUCUAGUCUAGGGGAUCUUGGACAUUAUAAGCACACUGGAGGUCAAUAAGGAAACAAGGUCUGCAUGCAUUUCUUCCUCUCUGUUAAUCCACUCUAGGUGUGAUUAGAUUAACUCCUUGUGUUUAUACCUUGACUUCUCCUCAAUGAAGGACUAUAACCUGGAAUUAUGUGCCAAAUAAACCCUUAAGUUGCCUAGUGUCAGCAUAUUUUAUCAUAGUAACAGAAAUGAAAUUAGAAGGCUUAUUAUCUAUGUCUUUUGCAUUUUAAGUGCCUGUAACUAAUUGGUUAGCUUAGGAAUUGUUUUCUCUGCUAAAUUCAUGUGAUAAUCCACACACAUUCUUGCUACCUGUAACUAAUUGUUUAUUUUGUGAAUUCUAUUCUCUGCUAUAUCUGUGUGAUAAUCCACAUUCUUAGCUAAGAGACAUACUGUUCCUGUAUUAUUCACAGGCAAAAACUCUCAUAGUGGGAUACUCAAUGAAGUUUGUUAUCUAGAAGCAACUGAUGGAAUGAACUAGAACCCUAAUUGCCAAACCUUGGUUUUGUGACUCUGGCUUUGAUUAUUUUCUGUUUGCUUAUGCAAGUGUGCCUCAAAGGAUUUUAAAGAGUUUCUGUUACCAUCCACAUCCAAGUCAGAUAGAUGGUUUAAUGGUUUAAAAGAAAAUGAUCCCCAUAGCCUCAUAGGGAGUGGCACUGUUAAGAUAUGUGGCCUCGUUGGAAUAGGUGGCGCCUCCUUAGAAGGACUGUGGCACUAGAGGUGGACUUUGAGGUCAUAGAUGCUCAAUUCAGGCCUAGCGUGACAGUCUCUUCCUGCUGCCUACAGAUCUACAUGUAGAACUCCCAGUUCCUUUUCCAGCACCGUGUCUUCCUGUGUGUUGCUAUUCUUCCCACCAUGAUGAAAAUGGACUAAACCUCAAUUAGAUGUUUUUCUUUAUAAGAGUUGCCCUAGUUGUGAUGUCUCUUCACAGCAUUAGAAACCCUAAUUAAGGCAAAUGGGCACUUGUAAAUGCCAACAGCCCUACAAGUUUAUCUACCCAGCACAGCUAUUCCCUAUCUGGAAUCUAUGUGUUAUUUUUAGUGUAUUUCUUUUUGAUCCACUAAUUUUUUUAAUUUCUCAUAUUAAUUUUUAAAAGAAUUCUUAACGUAAGUGUAAUGGUUUUAUGACUUAUCCAUUUAUAGAACCAUAUAAUGAAUAUUUACUUAAUUCAUUUUGUGUGGCAUAUACAGAGUCUAAUAAUAUAUCAACAGAUGAAGAAGACAUGAUAGUUAACAAGAUUGCUGUAUUGUUUCUAGGGAAAUAACCCACCAGACUGAAUUUUUUUUUUCUUUAGCAAUGCUUGUAACCAACCACAAGACAUCAGACUGAGACUAAUUUCUUUCAAAACAGUUUCCUAAAAAGUUAAUACAAGAUAUAAAGGAAAAUAACUUAUAGUCACAAUUUGGUCAAAUUUUCAAGGCAGAAAACCACAAGUAGUUAUGGUAUAAAAAGUAAAGGGUGAUUACACUGGAAGAUACCAGGCCAACCAUUCAAUUCCAAAGAUCUCACUGUGCAUUCUGGUCUCCUGCUCACUCUUUCAGUCUCUACAGGUUCCCUUUAAACUAAAAAAACUUACUGUGAGCAUGUGAGGGAAUUUGAAACAGAACGUGAUGAAAAGCAAAAUGGAGAGGCAAGGGAAAGCAAUUACAGAGGGAGAUCAUUAAUUGGAGGGCUUAUCUCUACCGUGAGGUUGAGUACCGUGAGGAAUGGGUAAGCUGCAGGUGCUGUGAAUUGAAUUUCAUGCACUCCUGUUGUUCCUGAAGAGCUGGCUGUGCGUGGCAAGUGCUGAGUGAUUUGCCAAAGUGUUGUAAGAACACUAGCAAUCAAAAAGCCACCAGGCUCUGAAAAGCUGGGAUUGAGUGAAGGUGGAAAAACCUGAAGGCUAAAGGGAAUUGGGACUUUUCACUGAAAUGGAGCUUGACACAGGGGAAGUUCAAUCAGUAAUAAAGGGGAGUGAAGAGAAAAGCAGUGCAGAGGGGAUUGGAAAAGGACGUGCUAUGAUCCCUUCUCAUCAAUCAAAUUGAGAGUCCUGCUGGGACAAAGUCUACAUGGGCCUUGGGUAAAAGACUCCUUUGUAUUCUUUCAACUUACAGAAAUGGGCUUCUUAGGAAUCUCAGACGUAUGCUGAGGUCAAAUUAAGCAUCAUUUGAAACCAUCCACAUAUUCAAACAGGGCAUCAAAACCCCAUGAAAGCAGAAUACCCACUCCUGUUAGAUCUUUAUCUCUCCUUUGGCUGCACACUGCUGCUCUCAUCAGCUCCUUGCCAGUCUUCCAACAAGAGGUACUACCUAUUUCCUUGACGUGAAAUGCCCCAUAAGUGCUUUUCCUUCAUAGUUAUAGAAUGAUGGUUAAUCUUGACUGUCAAUUUGAUUGGGUCCAGAAACAAACUUCCGAGUAUAUCUGUGAAAGAUAGUCUAGAUUAGUUCAAUUAAGGUUGGAAUAGUACCCUUACCUAGGGAUGGGUACUAUUUCAUGGUUUGGGUUUCUGAGCUGAGUAAACAUGAGAAGUUUGCUGAGCAGCAACAUUCACUGGUCUCUGAUACAUGACUGCAUGUAGGUCCUACUCCUCUCUCAGUCUCACUGUCCCUUAUGGGCUAUGCCCUAAAAUGUGAGCCCAAAUAAAGAGUUCCUUCAUAGACUGGUUUUUGUCACAACACUGAGGAAAAAGUCACUAAUACAGUGACCCAGACUUCAAAUGCUAGCUCUGAUACUCAUUCCUCUCCAUUCAAGUCAGACUCUUAUGAUGGCAGGGUGGCUCCCACUAAAUUAGACUCUUCACUCUUCUCAGGCAUAGCACCUUGUCAAAAGUUUUCUUGUUCUCCCAGCACUUUCCUGAUUGUAUACUUUGACAGAUAAUAUGUUAUCUUUUUCAGGACUCUACAUCUUUGAGAACAUUUGCAAAGAACCAAUUUCUCAAGGCAAACUUUUAUGAUAUUUAAAUUAAAUCAUCUUUUAUCAGCUUAUAUCCUGGCUUUGGAGGUUAGAUUUCUUUCAACAUCUCUCUUCUUCACUAAACUGUGGACUUGGAAGAGGCUGAAUUCUGUCUGGGAUUCCUGGAUCCCAGCAUACCCAAGACUGCAGUAAUUUUCUCUUUAUUCUUUCUUGUAUGUAAAGACAUUCUUUCUUGUUUAAAGGCAAUCAUUUCAAUCUUCCCCUUAGAUAACCAAAUACUUAAACUAGCAUGAAAGGACAUGAGUAACAAGUUAAAAGAUUAAACCUCGAAAAAUUAGACCACAAAUUUCUCAACCUAAGCAUCUUUGACACUUGAUGGUUUUGUGUGUGUGUGUGUGUGUGUGUGUGUGUGUGUGUGUGUGUGAGAGAGAGAGAGAGAGAGAGAGAGAGAGGGAGAGAGAGAGAGAGAGAGACAGAGACAGAGACAGAGACAGAGAGACAGAGAGGUCAUGGAUAGGGAGUAACAUGCCAAUGCUGGUUACUUAGCAGAUGUCUGGCUUACAUCCCCAAGGUAAGAGAGCAUGUCUGCAGCUAUGAAACCUGAAAAUGUGUCCGGACUGCCUGUACAAUAUCUCAACUGAGGGUGGGAGAGAGGUGUUGCAGUUAGUGUGUGUGUGUGUGUGUGUGUGUGUGUGUGUGUGUGUGUGUGUAGGGGUAAGUGUAGGUGUGUGCAUGUGUAAGUGCAUGUGUAUAUUAGCAGGUAGAGAAUUCCCAAUCUAGGGCACACACUAUUUAAUCACUGAGAUAAAAAUGAUUUCUAAUUUUUGUUGAAAAAUAGACUCUGAGUCAUAGAUAACAGAGUAAUGGAUAAUAAUUAUUCACAGGAUAUUUUUAGAAAUAUAUAAAGAUUCAUUAUACUGAUGUAGGCCAUCAUCCAAAAUCCUCAGGAAAUCAAUUUGAUAAAGGAAGAUAAGAGAGUCAUUAGUACACUGUUUCUGGGAAUGUUCUAGGAAAGAUUGCAUUAGUGUACAGAGAACCAUUGAAGCUUGGUGCCAGGCUCAUGGUUUUGCUUAAUAUACUCUUUCUUUGGUCUAAUAAAAACAUUAGAUGUCAAUUUGUCACAACUAACAGUGAAAAUAUUGAGGAAUUUUCUUUCCUCAAGCAAAAUCACAUGCAAACACAGUACAAACACUCUCAGAAACAAACACAAACACAGAAGUACAUUUAGGAUUUUUCUUUUCUUGAAACCAAAACUUUGUGCCCAGUUGAUUGAGGCCUUUGUUAAGGGGCCACUGUGUUGACCCCUUUCCUGCUGGGGAACACUAAACCAUAUUCCAGCAGUUUUUGCUCCCCUGCUGUGAGCUACAGGAAUGGUUUACUUAAAAGUUCACUGAAGUGAUGGUUUGGGCUCCAUGGGGUCAGAUUUUUCUCCAUCAAGUGAGAGAAAGAUAAAUUUAUAAUGCUGGCUUUUGAUACAAUUCCUGAUAUUAGAAGUCUAUUGUUUCUCUUUCUCCAACAUUCCCCACCUCACUCAACUCCUCUGGAAAGAAAGCAUAGGAAUUAUUCCUAGAAGCUACAGACAGGCAAUUUCUUGGUAAGUAGACUUUUCUUCUCCCCAUCCCCAUGGGGAUUCCUGUUUGGCAGCAUAGUAAAUUCACUCUCAGUGUUUCAGCUCACAAUAACAAGGAAAUAAGACAAACUCUGGGUGUGUAUUGACCAAAUUAGAACAGUGGACAAUCAGCAAGAGGGGUUUCUUGGAAACCAUCCUGCCAAGGGCAGGGGGAGGAGGGAAUGUAAUUACUAUUUAGGAAAGAAUUGCCAAACUGGAAGCUAAAGGGAAGUGUAAAAGCAUGCAUUUUUAAAUUAAGGCAAGCUUGAAAUCCAACAAUUUAGGCAAUGACAGUUCCAAAACCAAGCAAUUAGCUUGCAAUGACUGCAAGACUGGAAGAGAAGGUGAGCAUUGGGAGUAAGGGAGGCAAGGCUGUAGGUAUAUACACAGAACAUCCGGAAUAGCUUCCUAAUAACUAUACAGGUUUUAUAUCUGGGUUUGUAUUAAAUUGCUUGUUUGUCCAUGCAUUUUUGCAUGUCGAAUGUAUGCAGGGAACUUGGAAAAUUAUUAGUAGAAUUUUAUUUUCUGAGGUUUACUCAUCAGCUGUUAUUUAUGAUUGUUAACUUCAAAACUUAAUAAAUAGGUUCUUGCCCUUCUUCCUUGUGAUUUCUUUCAUCUCAGAGAGCAUGUACUAGUUUAAUUUUUCGAUGAGGUUCUUCAAUCCCAGAAGAGUCAUAUCACUUCUAUGGCCUCAGUUUCCACACUUAAAACUUUGAUGAAAUAUGAAUUCAAUGUCUGUACUCUGCUUAGAUAUAAAUCCAGUGUCUAUGAUUUCUUCAUCUAUUUUCAAUCUGAAAGCAUGGGCUUCUGUGAGACCAUGCUCAUCUCUUUAUGCCUAGAAAUCUUGUAGAAAUGUGGAACUCUUGUUAUCACAAGAAAGAAAGAGUAGAAAGAGUCCACUCACUACCAGAGUCUGGGACCCAACCCCAGGUGACUGUAGCUAACACCAUAAAGGCAAAGAGACAGGUAUGGAAACCUGUCUAACCCACUGGCUCUGGGCCUCAGACAGUUUGUUCUUUCUGUUCAGACUCUUUAUUUGUUAAAUAGUUUGCCAAUCUUUCCCACAUAUCUUUUCUAGAAAGACCGAAAUAUUCAGAAACAAAGAACAGAUAUCUUGUCCCUGGUGGUUCAGACCAUGACCCAGUGUGAGAACUCAGGAAAAAUUGAGUGAGAACUGGAUCUCUUUUUCUUGGAAUAUAUCUUUAGACUGUAGCUGCAUUCCAUCCAUCAGUCCAAUGUGUAGAAAAGCUAACAACAUCACACCGUACUGUACAUAUACUAGAACAGCCCUUCUGUCAUAAAACAAAAACAACAAAACAAGAACAGACCACUAGCAAACUCUUUAACCAGCCUAUUAACCAACUUGGGCUGCCAUAACAAAAUUCCAAAACCUACUGAGUAGCUUACACAAAGAAACAUUUCUGGAGGCAGGAAGUCUAAGACCACCUUCAUUUUCUUGAAACCAACCUCUCUGAGUUGCUGUCAGCUGGCUGACUCCCCACUGUCUGCACACAGCCAUUCUUUUAAGCAUGGACAGGAAAACAUUCACCGCUAAUGUCUGUCUUUUCUUCAAAGGACAGCAGCCCAUCAGAUUAGGGUCCUGUCAUUGUGGCCUCACCCCAUAAUUAUCUCCCAAAUCAACUCUAAUUUCUAAUAUAGCUCUACUGGGGUUAAGCUUUCUAUAUAAAUCUGGAAGGGGCAUAAUUUGGUCCAUACAGUUGACUACAUGUUUAUUGAAUUUCCUUAUUACCAGUAGAAGAAAUGCCUGAAGAAAAGCAGAAUAAUCAGAGUUGUGUGAAUGAAAUGGAGGGCGUGGAACUGUUUGCAGCUGCAGUUUAGAGCCUUUUGCAGAUUCCUGCUUAGGAUUCAAUCUACCCAAGGUAAUUUAUCAGAAAUCCCUAGCCAAUCCUAUAAGCAGCAUAAGACUUCAUGUUACACAAUUUAACUUUCUCACUUCAUUCAAUCUAUGGACAGAACUUCACUUUUUACCCCUUUGAGAUAUAAUCAAUAUUAAUACCUAAGGUUCUUUCCCCUCUUUGAAUAUAGAGAGCCUGCUAAAUUAACUCUUUACAACUCACCUCUGCCACAUGACUUCCUGGUUCUCCUUGUCCUUUAAAGAAUCCUUUUUCUGUCACAUUUCUACAUCUACACUAUUUCUCUGGUUCCAUGAAGGUUUGUAUAUGCUGUUCUAAAGCAUUCUUUUCUAUCAUUCUAACAAAAUUUUGUGACAACUCAUGUUAAAGAAAUGUUUUAGAAUUUUGAUAGAUGUCCUCAUAAUUGUAUGAGAUCAAUAUGUUUGUAAUUGUGCUGUCCUUACCAUUUUGCUCAAUAGACAUCUAAGUAUUAUACAAACAUGAUUGUCAUGUAGAAUUGACUCUUCUUGUUUAGAGCCUAUAUAUUGAUUAUUCCUAGGACGCUUUUAGGAUGCCCUUGGCUACCUGUUGUUCUAUCAUGUUGGCACGAAGCCUAGCACACUCUCACUGUUGAGUAACUCAUUCUUACCUUUUCCAUAUUCUGAAAUCAAAGAGGCAAAAAUCAUUUCAGUUCUUCUCUGUGUCCCUAGGGCUAGCAUGCUACCAGCUUUAUGGUAUUUUUUUGAUUCACUGAUGAGAAGAAGUAUGUUCUUGAAAACCAAGAAUUUAAAUUGACUUUUAUAUAUUUUCCACCAAUUAUCAAUUUGUUCUUCCUGGACCCAUGCCUAGGGCAACCGUGCCUUCAUUGGUUAAACAAGAAUUUAUGAAAUACCUAAAUAUGUUCUGGUUGGCAGCAUGCAUUCUUAGAGAUGAGGACUUCAGCUCAGUAGAAGAAGCUCAUAUGUAAACAAACACGUAUUCUUCAGUGUACAGUAUGGCUUAGGAAGAAGCAUGGCUGUUCAGGGUGGAGAGAAAGUGCAGCAAAAACCACUCCAUCUGCUCCCUAAUCCCCUUUCAGCUUCUCAUGUAUUCCUGGCUCUGUUUGCCUUCAGGACUCCCUAUGUUUUUUACAUGCCUAAAAUUUUUUCAGCCUAUUGUCCUAAUAGUAAAUUCCUAAGUACUCAAAUUUCACCUUCAAUGGCACCACAAAAGAAUGAUGCAUUACCUCCAAACACUAAAGUCAGCAACUAUAGUUCUUUUAUUACAUUUGUGUUUUCUUUAUAACUCUUAGGAAAUACCAUAUCAGAAUGAUGUGUUUUCUUUAAUGUCUUUCUUGCUCAUCAGUGUAUGGAAGGAGUUCAACAUCACAUAUUCAGAAAAUCCAAGAGUCCGUUGAAAAUUUAGCAAUCUAAGUAAAUAUCCAUUGAACGAAUACAAUAAUAAAUGAACAGAGAACUUCGUGUCUCAAGAGCCCAGUGGAAAAAAGCACCAGAAUAGCUAACGAUAGAACUCACUCCAGAUUAUUUCCUGAUCCAAAUUGCUUUGUCUUCUCUCCUUAUGUGUUACAGGAAGCAUUUUCUUUUUUAAGAGAAAAAAUCCACUCAGAGGCUCAUUCUCUCUCCUAGGAAUUAAUAAGUAGUGCACUGUAAAUUACAACUGAGUUAGGUUCAUUUGGGAUCCAACUCCUCUCCCUGUCUUUGAACUAUGGCUGUACCUCAAACAAUUUAAGAAUUCAUGUUGCCACCAUCCAUUAUCAUCUGAGGUAGAAGAUAUUCCAUUACUGCUAGCAUCUCCCAAGUUCAGCACAUACAUCCAGGAUUUAGAGAGAUGGAUAAAGCCAUUUAUACUAUGUCUGUAAAGUCAUGCAAGGAGUCAUGUAAAACUCCUCAAGUUUUGCCUCUGAACUAUUUCCUCUUAUUUUAAUGUUCAUUAUAUUUUGUUUUACAUCACAGUGACUGUGUUGCUACUUAGAUAAGAAAUAUUAAAUUUAUGAUAAUAUCUCAUAUCUCCAUACACUUGCAUAUUCUUAGCAACUGCUUUGUUCUCUAUUAAUUCUUUGCCUUACCAGAAUUACUUCUUUUAUUAACAACCACAGGUUUUUAAAGCUCUGUCUAGCUUCAAUCUCUGAAUUCAUUUUUCCCCAUUCCCAUUAUGUCUUGCUGAAUUCUCUAAGUGAAUUAUUUAGCUCUGCCCAGCUUUUAAAAGUGAUUUGCAUGAGACACAUUAUACAAACUAAAAGCAUAUCAUAUUAAAAUGUCUGUAAUUGUUUGAAGGAACUGCCCCCAGGGAAUAUGCUGUGCUAUAUAUAAUGGCUGUGGGGAAGUUUUGACUCCUCCUGUGUCUGUAACUUGAAACAAACAAAAAACAAUUUAUGGGCUGAGAUUUGACUUAAAUUUAAGGAGAAAAAUGUGUUGCUGUGCCAACUGGGCUUUUAUGCUUGUAUUAAACUUUUUGUUAUUGGCCUCAAAAGUAGUGGCAAGAGAUAGGGGAAAAAAAACUUUUUGUUUAUCUCUACAACUUUGUGAGAAAAGCAGUAGUUUCUUCCUUUGUGGUUAGGCAAAACUUUAUCUGUGACAGUUAUAGAAGUACUGGGCUUUGCCAAUUCUAAGCUUUCUGGCCUUUUAAAAGCAUGCCUGCACCAGAUAAGCAUGACACAGGCUCUCAUGUGAGUAGAUGGAUGGAACUUUGCCUUUCAUGACUUUUUUCACAGAGCUGAACAAAUGUGCAUUUUAGGGCUUUAUGGGAAGAUAUAUGCUAGUGAGUCAAAGAAUGUUUCCUUCCAGAGUGCUUUUCUAGAACUGGAAUCUGAAAGUCACAGCCUUGUGAUUGGCACCGUCUCUUUUAAGACACUAAGAUGGGGUUAUUGCCCGAUUGCCUACAUUCAAACUCCUUUGCUGUGUACAAAGAUCUCACACUAGCUGCACUGGCACAUACCUGGUUUCCUCAGUUUUCUCCAGUCAGAUGAUGUACCAAGAACUUCCUAUCCUGCUCUAAUUCAUGAUGGUUAAGUAUCUUUGAUUAUAAUGUAUUUCUGGGUGAUGGAGGGGAUUGAUACUUAUGUCAUAUUCUAUUUUCUCAGAAUGAGAAACGAGAACAAAAUAACAAAACUUCAUCUGAUGAAGCACAUGAUUUUCUAAUGCAUCAAAAAAUCAACCUAAAUAGCAAGUGUGGAUUAUUUUUGUUGCCUGGAAGCUCUGCUUCUUAUUGCUCUGCACAUUUAAAUUUUCAAUAUUCUGUAUAGGAUGAAUCUUAAGGUAUCUUGGAUACUUAAAUGAAAUAAUUCUUUCUUCACUAGAAGAAAAGGAAUGAUGACAGCCACAUUUUCUGAAAUGGUUUCAGAAGCUACUUAAUUCAUAGGAAACUAAAUUCAAUAUUUUAUUUGAAAACCAAGAGAGAGCACAGAAUGAAAUCUCCUUCUAUGGUAAGAAUUUGAAUGUGUUUCAGGGAGUCUUCAGUAGCCUGAGAAACUUGGACUUACUUGCCAUGAGUUACCUACAUGUUGGAGUAGUCCUGAGGCAGUGUAUCCAUUCAUAGCAAGCAUUUAUAAAUGCUCAUGUAGAAUAUGGUCUACCCAGCACACACAUAUGGCAAAUACUCUUCUGAGACUUGUUUGUUCUGCACAAAUAUAGACUACAAAACACUUGGACAUACGCAUCUUAAAUGAGAUCAUUUGAUAUCAUGGAGGAAGAUAGCUUUGAAUGGCUUUCUGAAAGCUAUAGCUUGAUGUAAAUAGAUUUUUAACUUUUAACUUCAGUGACACAUAGAAGAGUACACAUAUUACACAAUAUAGAAUAGGUUUAAAAAAAACCACUCUAGGCAGUAUCAGAAAAUAUAGAAGUGCUAUUUGUUACAUUCAAGUUGUGAUGACAAAAUACCAGACAGGGCCAAAUUCAAGGGAGGAAAGGUUGAUUUCACUCAUUGUUUCAGAGGGAUUUCAGGAUGUCAUGGCUGAAAAGGCAUUGUAGAGUUCACUGUGGCCUGAGCCUGGGAGAGACUUCUCGUAUGUAGUGAACCAAGAAGAAGCCAAUAAGACAGGAGCUGUUUGAACUCUUAAAGACCUUUUACUAGGAAAUGCAAGGCUGAGAUAAAGUGUAGAAACAUGAAUCAGUCAGAAGGAGGUUAGCUACAAACUAUAAGAGGGUUCUAGGGCCCUUAAAAUCUGCCAUUCAAGUUGUUAACAUUUAAAGUCACAUGCCUACAGCCUUUGGAAUAGCACUAAUUUUCUACAGAGGAGUAGUUGUUCUUAUUCCCUACUGUUAUCAUUUUUAUAAUAUCUAACCUUCUCACUAAUUAACAUAGUGUGUCGAAGAUGUGCUGUGAGUCAGGAAAUCUUGAGCAGCAUUGAAACAAACAGUUUCCCAUGAGUUACCCCACAGGAAUGGGGGAUAUGAAUAUGCAGGCCUCUCUUUGGAACGAGAAUCAGUUAGUUUGUACUUUAGCUUUUUGGUAUUUGGUCUACAAAAUUCUCACGUUUGCUAAAUGUAAUGAUAAUAUUCUGUUUUUCAAAGAUUAUGCUGUACUUUUUGAAGGGAAAAAUGCAGAUUGUGGAACCUGAAUCAUUAUUAUGAAAAUUGUAGGUGUUGAAUUUCACAAGUCCAUGUACAAAGUAGGCCAAGGUAGGAGGAUUACAGAACUACAAGCUUUGACUACAUAAUGAGAUGAGAGAGCUGGGAGUGGAGGAUGUCGAGUUGGGAGUUGGGGGGAGAACACAAACUUUACAUUUUGAUAGUGUGUGUUACACAGUGAUAGUUUCUUUUUUUUUUAAUGAGUAUGAUUUGAAGAGGGUAGAUUCCUCUCGAAAAGACCCAAUAUUCUACAGAUAUUUCUGCAACAUAACAGUUUAAUCAAAUAGAAGAUAAAUUCUCAGGUAUAAAGUCUUAUGAUGAUGGAGAAGAAAGGAAACUUGGUUUCACCUUUCUCUUGACAGAAACUAACAAUCUCAUGAUGUAUGUUACUGGCACCAUUAUUUGAAAAUGUUUAUACAUGUGUAUAAUUUAGCCAUCUUUAACUUUUUGGUACAAUAAUAAGGCACAAAGUUCCUGAAACAUAUCUCUUGUAGUCAUGACAAAUAAUUUCUUUCCUGACCACAUAGCUGCUUUCAGAUUAUUAUCACCAGGGUUUCUUCAAGACAGCAGCAUACAGGAUAUAUCAUAUUCCUACUGGUUUUCAAGUACCUUAAAAGCAUCUUCCUGCAAGACCCUCACUGUGGGCUGCUAAGCCAGGUACUGAUUUCAAUCUUACAUUAAUAGAGAUAAAGUAACUUCAAAACUGUUAUCACCUCCUCUUGUAUUUGAAUCCAGUAAUGGUGGCUCCAUAGCUCAUUGUCUUCUCAAACCUGGAGGUGCCUCUUUCCAAUAACCUUCCAUUAUAAAAAUGGAUGUUAUGAAUGCCUUACUUUAUCAUGACAGUUAAGGAGAAAUAAGUAUUUCCUAGUAUUAGCACUUUGGGUAUAAUAAGUAUGGGAAAUAUUUAUUUAUUUAUAUGAAAUAUAUAUGUUAUGAACAUAUGUAUCUUAAGAGUGUUGAUAUACUUUCCAAUUAUUCUAUAUCAAUAAAGAUAUCAUCUUUAGAAAUACAUGUCCUUUGUGGUUUAAAUGAGCUUUCUCUUCACUGACUCUGGUGUUUUGGGAAUUUGUCUCAUAAUUUCUGUGUUGUGUUGUCAACAUCUGUAGUAGCUAUUCCUGGUUGUCAACUUGACUAUGUCUGGAAGAACUAUAAUCCAGAAUUAGAAGGCUCACCUUAGAUCUUGAGGCUGGGAAAUGAAACUAACCUUGAUCUUGGUGUGGAGAGCUUGAGGCAAAGUGGCUAUGAAUUCCAGGAGCUUAAGGCAAGGAGAUCUCUGAGUUCAAGGUCACCCGGGAUAAAGCAAGUCCCAGACCCAGGCAUGGUGGCACACACCUUUAAUCUGGCACACAGCUUCUGCUGGAGAUGUACAUAAGGACAUUGGAAGAAGGACUAGUCUCUCUCUUUUUUGCCACCGCUAGAUCCUUGGACUUUCAUUCCCAGCUGCUGCUGAUCAUUGUUGGAGAGUUGUUACAGACUAUUCUCUCAAUACAACUGCAUCUAUAUGUUGUGGUUUGCCCCGGAGUUAUCUGUAUUUUGAUGCUAAUUCCACUGCCCCAAGGACAGCUGCCUAGUCAUGUACUCAGGAAUCAGACCCCCGGAGAGGACCUUUCCCUCAAGAGGAGUCCCAAGCGCCCAAUGACCAAGCCGAGUCCACUCGGAUGCAAUCAGCAAGAGGGUUUAUUGGAAAACACAGGUACCUGCGGGCACACAGUCUCUUCGGAGGACUUGCGCGCCCAGCAGCUCCAGCAUGGGGCUUUUAUAGGGAUUGGGGAAGCAGAAGCGGGCGUACAGAAGCAGAUGCAUAGUUACGGGGAUUGGUGGAUUCAAACGAGGCACAUAGACAUGUUCACAUAUGAUUGGCUAUUUCACAUGAUGAGGUAAUAAGGUAUAGCUACACACAUUGGCAGGUUUGGGGCGUCCUGGAUGUCGGGGGCUGCGGGCUUAUCUCUUCCUGCCAGGUGGCCUGUGAGUCAGAUCCGGUACUCCUGGUCUGUUCUGCAUUCCUUUCCUUUUAUGGUCUGUUAGUUCUAGCGGCAGGGCGGGGCUGCCUGGACUUGCUUUUCACAGUGUUUAGUCCUGAGUUGAAACAUACUCUUUUAACUUCAUAUUUUUAAACCUUAAAUCUGUAUAAUUUCCUUUCAUUCCCCUCUUCUUCUACUAAGUAAUUCUAAUCUUAGAAUUUUGAUAUCAAGUCUCGUAUUUAGUCUCACCAGUUGUCCUAACUGACUGGUACUGUUGUCUCAGAACCAUCAACCGCACAGCACUCACUCGAUUUUUAACAAAAGCAAUUAACCUGUUUGUCACGCAGGGUCCAAAAACUAAAACCAAGAAAAUUAUUAGUAAUGGCCCAGCCAUAUAGCAGAGAGUAGGGUAGUCAUCCAGGGAGUGAACCAAGACUCAAACCAACCUUGUUGAGCGUCUCUUAUCUUUUUGUAGGAGUCAAACCUAUUAACUAGUUUCUCUAACACACAUGGACCUAUAAUCAGAAGCAGAAGCAAAACUAAGAAGGGUCCCAUAAGGGAAAAAUACCAGAGUAGUCAUCCAAGGAGAUCUACUAAACCAGCUCUAGAACCAUCCCUGAUGCGCUUCUCUGUCUGCCUUUUGUCUAACCUUUCUCUAAGUUUAUUCAUGGAGUCUUUAAUUACUCCUGAAUGGCAGCUCUGAAUUCUCUAUACGCCUUGCAUUGCAACAGCAGAUGUCCUUGUGCUGCCCUUGCAGCAUCUAGAUAGCCUUAGCCCUAAGUAAUUCUCAACUCCUUUUUUUGUGUCUUACUAAGUCUUUAGCAUCAGGAUUCCAAUCUGGACACUAUCUAAACCUACACACCAAGGUCAUGACUAGCUUUUAGAACUUCUAAACUUAUACAGAUUGUGAUCCCUGAGGCACAGUCCCAAGAAGUGUUAGGAGUACUAACAUAUGCAAUGUUACAUCAUUUGUAAUAGAAAUCAAGCCUAUCCCCACACCUAUCUUGAUAAAACCCGGGGCAAACAUGAAAUUAAGUCUAGGGAGCUUUUUGAAGAUCUGAGUUUCCCUCUAGGUCCCAGCUCUCAGCCCCAACAGCUAGUACACGGCUGGUGAGGGCUGAGAGUUGAUGGCUCUCAGAGUGGUCAGCAGCACCAGGUACGGUCCUUUCCAGUGAGUAUCUGGAUUCGGUGCCAUCGUAUGUAGCCGAGUCUCCGACCUGGAACUGGUGAGAUAUCUCAGGGGUCCCCAGGGCAUAGGUGCUGCCAGCUCUGAGCAGAUUUCUUUCUGUAUCACCUGUAGGUCUUUUAGCCUGGCACACAAAUCAUUAUUACUAUGGCACUAUGACAUGUUGGUUCAGUAACAUCAUCUAAUACAGUCAGGGGGGCUGAGGCCCCAUUUAAGAUCUCAAAGGGGGUAAGGCUGAAUCUGGAAGGGGUAUUUCUUGCUCUGCCGUCUCUCGUUUGGUGAGGAAAGCUUCUAUCUAUUCCUGAAAAAGUAUCUACAAGCACUAGGAGAUACUUGUGAUUAUAUUUUUCUGGUUUUAUCUCAGUGAAGUUCACUUCGACUUUUCACUAAACUCUCUAGGUCUCUUUGCCCUGUUUGCUUGCUAAGCAUUCACUUAUUGACAUACCUUAUACUUUCUACUGCCUCUCUGGCUAAAAUCUUAAAGUCUAUUACAUACACUUAACUACUUGGACAAACUUUUUAUCUCCUAAAUGAGUCCAUUUCUGCAUUUGGCAAAGUGAGUCUUUUCUUUGUUCUCUGGGGGAGUAUAGCUUUCCCCUCAAGUGUGCCAUUGUCCUUUAUCUUUUAAGCAAUUUGGGCCUUUUCUAAGUGAGGCCAUCCCUUAGUCCGAUCCUAGUUCUCAGUGGCUGUCUCUUGCAGGCCUGCAACCAGGAUAGGCUCCUGCAUAGCCAUUUCCUGGGCCACUUUAUCUGCUUUGUUACUGCCCAAUGCCACUGAAUCUCUUCCCUCCUGAUAUCCUGAGCAAUGAAUAGUACUCACAGUUGUUGGCUUCACCAGGGCAUCCAAGAGAUGGCAAAGGCAUCUGCGGCACUGAUGUACUGGGGGGUUGAGGUUCAGCCAUCCUAGAUAACAUUGUGUUGUCCACCAUGGCAGCACCCACUUAUCUCUGACCUUCAUGAAGAGAACUGUUCCUGUCUGUGGACAAGGUAGCCUCGGCUUUCAGCAGGGGUCAAUCAGCCAGUCGCAGAGGUCUUUCCUCCACCCAUGGGCUUCCGCCUGUGCUUGACACUCGUGCUGUGGUGGCUCCAGGUCAGGAUUGGGCAGCAAGGUGACCAGAUUGCCCCCAACAGGUGGAGAAUCUAGUCCAUGGCAGCUGACCAGUGGUCCCAUCUUUUGGGACACUCUAUUCAAAGGCAAACAUCAGCCACUCUAUCACAGUUUAAGUCCUGGAUUGGGUGAUAAUUGUUAGUGCCCGGCUGGCAGGAGUGAUAUGUUCCAAGCAGAACAGCGCUAAGCCAUUCAUCUCCCAGCAUCAGGUACUGGUGCACUGAGACAGGUCUUAAGCUCCGCAUACACUGUCUGUAGAUAUGCAUACACAUGGCCUCACCCAGCCAUUUCAGCCCACGCAAGCCAUUUUGGGGAGCAAUUUUCUCAUGAGCAAGGGAUGGGGGCAGUCAGGGAUGACUAUGAACUAGUGGGUUACCCGGCCCACGCCAAGGUCCACUGUUCUUCGGGCAGUCCAUAAGUAUUGUUUGUUGCCAGUAGGCCCCUGUACCCAAGGUCUUUGGAUACUGGCCCACUGGAGCAUAGGAGCACAGAGCAUUGGGUCCCUGUAUCCAUAAAACAACUGGGCAGGCUUCCCUCCUAUCUCUGCACAUAGCCAGCACUCCAGGACCAAGAGGCUCUCCAGUGUCCCCUCUUGUUCUUUCUGGGGCAGUCCCUGACCCAGUGUCUUUUUUGCUUUGCAUUAGGCACACUGAUCUUUAGCCAGGAAUUCACUUCUGUUGCCAGGUAAUGUCUUCCUAGGUUCCCUAACUACUGUGGCCAGUAUAUGUUCCUCUCUUGUCUUUUAUCUCUCUUUAGCUUUCUGGCUUCCUCUUCUUUUUGUCUCUUUUCUUCCCUAGCUUUCUGCUCUUUUUACCUUCUUUUCUCUUUCUCUUUGUUUAACCUUAUUUUCUCUGUAACUUAUACUAACUCUCAGCAACUUAGCUUAACCCUUCAAAUUUCUGUAACUUUCUCUUCAUACCCUUUCCUUAUCUUAGCCAGAUUGGUGGGGCAUUUUCCAGCCCCUAGGAGACCCACCCUUGGAGCCUGGGGGCAGACCUGGAGCACUCCCUACCUUCAGACAUAUUGAAGUCAUUCGGGAGUGAGGGCCUUCCACCCAUGUCUGGAACAUUCUUUCUGGCCUCUAAUAGGAUUCUGUCUUACCUCAGUGGUAAAGAAGACCUGUAACAGUUACUAACAAGCAUCUCAAAUGGGAUGGUGAGAAAACAAGAGAAUCUUGAGAAUAGAGGUCUACUGAAGAGGGCAAACAGCAUUUAGUCACACAGCUAAACCAGGAGGCUUUCUUGGAUAAAAUAGGCCAUUGUACAAAUAAGCACAAGCUUUGUCUAUGAAACAGAAAGGCGAGCAGAGAGGCAGCCUAUCUGUUACCGGCUGUCUCUCUGGACUUAGAUUUUCCCUUAAGGAGUACCUCCCUUCAGUGUCAGCUUGGUGGCUUUGCCUCUCAAGAGAACCAGCCUCCAAAUGACACUAGGCUUCCACUAAGAACUAAUAACAAAAGGAUGGAGAGAUGGUUAGAACCUGGGUGCUAGAUACUAAGCAGCUGACAAAAGAAUUGUAACCAGUUCACCUGGGGCUUUCAGGACUUUAGUAGCAGCCCUUUACCAAACUGUCUCAGUGGGCUAUAGGCCCAUGGAAAAGAAAACAUUAAUCCUGACUGGCAAAACAAAGUUCUUCACAGUUGUAGAUUCUUUGAAACUAUUUUAGGGGCUCUUUUUGUCCCCCAACCUGGGGCAUUUUAACCAUAGGGGCAGGAACUGCCUGCUGUGGGGAUAGGACCAAAGGCACUCUCCAUGUUAAUGAUGAUCAGUGAGAAAAGUAAUUUAAUGUUGGAGACUGACUCCUCCCUUGGAAUAAGGACAGCAGAUAAGGCAGGCUUCCUUAAAGAACUUCUCUUAAUGAGCGCUCUCCUUCUGUGAGCAAAUGUCAGAAAUUCCUUUCUUGUUUUCCUUAUAGUCCUCUCCCACCUCGCUCUCAGCCUUUUUAGAUAGUUCUUCCCGUAGCAUUUCUAACACCACCUGUCCCUUUUUUUAUAGCCUGUUGACAGCAUUUCUGAUCUUUUAGGCAGCUACGCACUAAGUGCCAUACCGGCUGAAACUCCGCCUUUAAGAUUCCUUACUCCCAAGGAAAAUUUAAAUCUUUCCCAGUUCAUCACAGCUGGCUGCGAGCACAAGCACAGAUAAAACACUAUGUUUUUGUUUUGUUUUUCUUUCCUUUUUUCAGAGCUGGGGACCAAACCCAGGGCCUUGCGCUUGCUAGGCAAGAGCUCUACCACUGAGCUAAAUCCCCAACCCCCAAAACACUAUGUUUUAAAAAUUAACUUUGGCUAUCAACCAACACACCGCCACUAGAGCAGGGUCCACAAAAUUAAGUUUCUUACUCACUAAGCGUUAAGGGGACCAAGUAAAACUCUUCGACGAACAAAGCAAACAAUUUCAUGAUUUUAAGCACAGUCGUCAGUCCAAAUUCAAACACAAAACAAAAGUCAAAAAGACACUAACAGACACCAACCCGUCCAGAAAACCACAGUCAGGUCACAAAGAAGACAAACAAUUCCAACAGUCAAACAAGUAACAAGCAGACAUGCCCCACGGCUUCGGUACCAAACUGAAACCAAAAAUUCAGACGGAGUCAGCGAGGGUCUUGGAUCCUCUACUCCAAUAAAAUUCAGACGGAGUCAUCAAGGGUGCGGAUCCCUCCAAAAACGGACGGAUGUGCCACGGAUCCGGAUCUCCCUCUCCUCCAACCACCCUUGGAGCGUCUUCCAGGGCUGCGGGCGAGAAGUCCAAGCUCGUCAGCUCCUUCUCUGGCCCGCCCAGAUAGCCCCCAGAUCUGAGCCUAUUGAUCAAUCGUUCACAGGACAAGACACAACAGACAAGACAAACGCCGGCCAGCUUACCUCCCGGUGGGUGGUCGGUGAUCUCUGGGCGGAGGGUCUCCAAAUCCCGGAGGAGCCCCCAUAAUGAAAGACCCCCGGAGAGGACCUUUCCCUCAGGAGGAGUCCCAAGCGCCCAAUGACCAAGCCGAGUCCAUUCGGAUGCAAUCAGCAAGAGGGUUUAUUGGAAAACACAGGUACCUGCGGGCACACAGUCUCUUCGGAGGACUUGCGUGCCCAGCAGCUCCAGCAUGGGGCUUUUAUAGGGAUUGGGGAAGCAGAAGCGGGCGUACAGAAGCAGAUGCAUAGUUACGGGGAUUGGUGGAUUCAAACGAGGCACAUAGACAUGUUCACAUAUGAUUGGCUAUUUCACAUGAUGAGGUAAUAAGGUAUAGCUACACACAUUGGCAGGUUUGGGGCGUCCUGGAUGUCGGGGGCUGCGGGCUUAUCUCUUCCUGCCAGGUGGCCUGUGAGUCAGAUCCGGUACUCCUGGUCUGUUCUGCAUUCCUUUCCUUUUAUGGUCUGUUAGUUCUAGCGGCAGGGCGGGGCUGCCUGGACUUGCUUUUCACAGUGUUUAGUCCUGAGUUGAAACAUACUCUUUUAACUUCAUAUUUUUAAACCUUAAAUCUGUAUAAUUUUCCUUUCAUUUCACAUUAAUUUUACUGUUGAAGGGGACAAAGUGCAUGGUGGCUAUACUACAGUAAGCUUCAUAUCUUCUUAGAGAGUCUAGAAGCAAGAAUAAUUUCACUGUUUGCAUGUGUGUUUGUGUAUAUGUUGGAGGCAAUGUGUAUAUCACAUAUAUUGAUAUGAAUAGAAUCGUAAUUAGAUAAACAUAGUUUAUAUUUUAACCCUGUAGUUGUCAAGGGUAGCACAGAAGUCUGGCUCCAGGAUCAGAACCAUAUGAAUCUUAGAUUGAAGUAGGUUAAACCAUUUAUCAAAAUAGGUUAUGUGCUUUCCUAGAAAAAAAAGGGUACUGUGAGAACAUUAUAUAAACAAAUGUUGAAGGAUGUUCACCACUGUCUUACUUCAAUGUGGCCAUGCAUGACACACUUAUUUAACUACAGGAUCUGUAUGACCAGAGAUGUCUGUCCACUUUAAAUCAUCUUUAACAAGGCAGUGGGUGUCUGGCUUCCCAUGUUACAUUGUUAACCAUUUGAAGCUCAGAGAAUUUUGUUUAUAUGGUUUUAUUCCCAAACUGUUUCAACUAACCAAAUUUUCUGACUGCAUACAAGAGUACUCAUAGAUUUCUAUAAAGUUUGGGUUUAUUUUAAAGAAAAUUGCUUUAAUCAGCACAAAUAACUUUCUGCAUUGGUAAGGUUCUCUUCAAGUUGUAAGCAAUUAUGGAAAAAUACAGAGUUGAGAAAAGACAACACAGAUGAAAACAAGUAUAAAAUUUUAUAGGAGAU